rnacentral:misc_RNA from 1 species
CGCACCUUGCGCCGCGUGGUAUUCCACGGGGCACGCCUGUUUGAGCGUCACGUUAACCAUCGCUUCGUGGAUGUAACAGUCUGCGGAGCGGAUUUGGGUGCUGCCGUCGUUGGCUCACCUCGAAAUGCAUUAGCUGUCUAUGGACACGCGCCGCUGGUGUGAUAAUUUCCUUUGCGCCUAUGGUGUUGUGACCGGUGGAGGCUUAUAACCGCCCGCGAGGGCAAUAACUUUUGCGCUUUGACCUCAAAUCAGGUGGGACUACCCGCUGAACUUAA